CUUCCACUUCCCCAAUCUCUCUCGGUUUACUCCCUCUCCCUCUAUGAUGUUACUUCAUCCCAAAAUUAGGGAAUUUCCCAAAUCAAGAUCCCCAAAUUGCAGAAGCUCCAAAGUUCGUCGCCUUCAAUUCACUUCCCGUCGCCGUCUGCUGCGUAUUCCACCCAGGAACGCCUCUGCAGCGAGAGGGGAGGACGGUCGCCGCUGCUCGCUGCCCGCGGCUCAAACACGCACCGUCGGGAAGUGCUGUUGCUGUCAGACGGAACUGCUGUCUCGGGUCAGCCUUCGCCAGGCUCCGUUGUGCGCUGUUGUACCGUCGCGGUCCAGAUCCUUCACCAUCGCGGUAGACGACCAUCAUCAGCAGUCAUCGUUGAACCGCUGCCUUCCGGCAUUCCCAGCUGUCGGGCAGUCCGAAAACAGCCCCGAAUCGCCACCGGUAGUCCCGACCGAGCGCGAAAACUACCCCGUAAGCAUCCAGCAGCCCCCAUUAACUAUUCUCAACAACCCCGAACAGCCCCGAAACCAACCCUAAAGCAGCCCCGCCAGACAAGUUCUCAUUCCAAGAUUAAUGGUGGAAGAUGGAGAGUGGAGAAGUUGAAGAUGGGGAGUCUCCACUUGAAGAAACCGUCGAUCAUGAAGAGGAGAAGAAGAAAAAGAAGAUCUUUGGGCUUACUCCCAUAUUUUGGAAAAAGUAUUGGGCUCAACAUAAUUUAUUUAAAUUAGUUUGGGCUCAUUUAGUUGCAAAGCCCCAAAUUUGUAUAAUUAUCUAUUUGUUGGACCUUUUGAUUGUCAUGGCCCAAAGCCAUUUUUAAUAAAAACAUUUGGACUCAAAUUUUUAUUUGAGAAACCCAAGAGUA